rnacentral:rRNA from 1 species
UGGGGAAUAUUGGACAAUGGGCGCAAGCCUGAUCCAGCCAUGCCGCGUGAGUGAAGAAGGCCUUCGGGUUGUAAAGCUCUUUUACCAGGGACGAUAAUGACGGUACCUGGAGAAUAAGCCCCGGCAAACUUCGUGCCAGCAGCCGCGGUAAUACGAAGGGGGCUAGCGUUGUUCGGAAUUACUGGGCGUAAAGCGCACGUAGGCGGAUUGUUAAGUCAGAGGUGAAAUCCCGGAGCUCAACUUCGGAACUGCCUUUGAUACUGGCAAUCUCGAGUCCGGAAGAGGUUAGUGGAAUUCCCAGUGUAGAGGUGAAAUUCGUAGAUAUUGGGAAGAACACCAGUGGCGAAGGCGGCUAACUGGUCCGGUACUGACGCUGAGGUGCGAAAGCGUGGGGAGCAAACAGGAUUAGAUACCCCAGUAGUCCCUGAGCGGGC